GAUGAACGCUGGCGGCGUGCCUAAUACAUGCAAGUCGAGCGAACGGGCGAGAAGCUUGCUUCUCUGAUGUUAGCGGCGGACGGGUGAGUAACACGUGGAUAACCUACCUAUAAGACUGGGAUAACUUCGGGAAACCGGAGCUAAUACCGGAUGAUAUUUUGAACCGCAUGGUUCAAAAGUGAAAGACGGUCUUGCUGUCACUUAUAGAUGGAUCCGCGCUGCAUUAGCUAGUUGGUAAGGUAACGGCUUACCAAGGCAACGAUGCAUAGCCGACCUGAGAGGGUGAUCGGCCACACUGGAACUGAGACACGGUCCAGACUCCUACGGGAGGCAGCAGUAGGGAAUCUUCCGCAAUGGGCGAAAGCCUGACGGAGCAACGCCGCGUGAGUGAUGAAGGUCUUCGGAUCGUAAAACUCUGUUAUUAGGGAAGAACAUACGUGUAAGUAACUGUGCACAUCUUGACGGUACCUAAUCAGAAAGCCACGGCUAACUACGUG
rnacentral:rRNA from 1 species